CUUUCUAUAUCUAUAAUAAUUUUCUUAUCAUCUAGAAAAUCUUUAGUGCUAUAAUAACAAUUAUUUAUUAAAAACUCAAAUAAUUUACUUUUAAAUGACACAAUGUUAAGAUUUUUUAGGUCGUUUGGAAGUUUAUUAUAAAUUUUGAUAGCCAUACAAUAUGAAUUUCUGCUAUAUAGUGUUGUGCGUUGGCUCGGUACAGAUGUUUUUUUUAUAUAUUUAUGUAAAUAUUAUAAAUGAUAUUGCUUAAGUUGUCGAAUAAUCUUGUAGGAUGUUAUGUUGAUUGGAGUUUGUAAAACUGUAUUUGCCUGUUGUUUUUCUAAUUUGCGAAUUUGUGCUUAAGAUACUGCAGAGUAUAAAUCGAGUUUGAUUUUAGUUUGUUCAAGGAUCGAAAGACUUUUUACCGCUUUACUCAUACUCUAAAAGAAAAGAUCAUUUUCAUCCAUUUCCACCUCCCGUCUUGCGUUUUGUUUUUGAAUUCUUAGAUCAUUUGAUGAUUUCAAUUCAAAUCUAUUGAUUUUAUGUACUCCCUAAGAUACCCUUGCACUUUUCUUCUGCCUCCCUUACACUUAUCUCACGAUGACGCCUUAAAAAUUACUGGUACCAUGUGUCCCCUGGUAUCCUUAAAUGGGUUUUUCAUCCCAGUUUCACGAUUAAUUUUCGACACACUUUCAAGAAGUUCUGUUUUAUUUAUAGGAAAUCCAUAUUUAGCCAUAUCUAAUACCCAAUUUUUUAACUUUUCUUCACCCUCAAGUCCCAAAACAAUAAUACAUAUUUUGACACACAAAGCAUCUAUCUAUAAUAUCUGUGUUGAAUAAUAAAUAAUAAUAUGUUUUACUUAAGGUUUUAAGGUAGGUUAAAAAAAAUCGUAGUAAGUAGAGUCUGUCAAGCGAGUAGUCCCAUGAAAAAAGGCGACAAUUUCAAAUAUCUUUCAGGUGUCAACACUGAUAUAGGACGCUGAAAACGUAUUGAUACUUGAAUUUUUGAUUAAAAAAAAAAACAUUUGAAAUAAAUAAAAAAAGAACCUUUCAAUGUAAGUAUUUGUCACAAUCAGAACUAAAAUCAGAAUCAAGAAAUUCAAUGCCUUCAUAUGAGAAAUCACUGUUCCAACUCAGUUUCGGAUAUCCUCUCUUACUUUAUAUUUGUUAUCGACACUAAUAGUGUGAUCUGUGCAUUUUUUCCAAUCAUUGGCUGUGACACUAUUAAAACAUUCUUUAAUAAGGUUCUCCUUUUCAUUACCUGGAAUCCCUAAAUUUUUGCUGGCUAUUUUUCUUUUAGCCAAGCUCCAUAUGAGUUCAAUAGCGUUCAGGUCACAAUGAUAUGGUGGAAGUUUCAAAACUUCAUGACCAUGUUGUUUCAAACAUUCUUCAGCUUCAUAUAUUGGAGUUGUUUUAUUUUCAUUCACAAGGCACAUAAGCUCAGCCCUUGUGAAAAAUUCUUCAUAAUGGAUUCCAUUUUCAGUUAGCCAAUUCUGAAUGUCAACCUUUAAAUCAUUCAUAAUUGGUUUCUUAUUUAUUUGUGUUACAUGGUAGCUAGCGUUGUCCACACACACUGGGCUGACUUAAAUUAGGUAUUAAAUUUUCACGUAAUCAUAAAAUUAUUUCUGUUCAUAUCAUCAUGAUAAUCUGCCAUUUAAGAUUUAGUACUGAAUACUAAUAUAGCAUUGGGGACAAAACCUUUUUCGGAUCCAGCAUGAACAACAAUAUGUCUUUUGCCUGAUAAUAUUUUAUCAAUUACACCGCUUGUUGGCAUGGCCCUUGCCAUGAUUUUUUAACUUUAUAAUUUUGGUGGACAUAGGUUUCAUCGAGGUAAACUAUUAAUUUUCCUUGUUUCCACUUUUCAUCAAUUGCUCUGAGAUACCUACAUAUGUCGCCAUGCAGCUAGUUCAUUCUUUUCAAGAAGAAGAGAUCUCUUUUUUUUUUAAUUCAAAUCCUUUUUAAUAGGUUUCGGCAUUUAACAUUAAACACCUCAACAAAAACCGGAUUAUUACCGGAUUAUUACAACAGAAUUUGUGACAAUCUGUUUGACAGAUCAUAG